AACGAACGCUGGCGGCAGGCUUAACACAUGCAAGUCGAACGCCCCGCAAGGGGAGUGGCAGACGGGUGAGUAACGCGUGGGAACAUACCCUUUCCUGCGGAAUAGCUCCGGGAAACUGGAAUUAAUACCGCAUACGCCCUACGGGGGAAAGAUUUAUCGGGGAAGGAUUGGCCCGCGUUGGAUUAGCUAGUUGGUGGGGUAAAGGCCUACCAAGGCGACGAUCCAUAGCUGGUCUGAGAGGAUGAUCAGCCACAUUGGGACUGAGACACGGCCCAAACUCCUACGGGAGGCAGCAGUGGGGAAUAUUGGACAAUGGGCGCAAGCCUGAUCCAGCCAUGCCGCGUGAGUGAUGAAGGCCUUAGGGUUGAAAAGCUCUUUCACCGAUGAAGAUAAUGACGGUAGUCGGAGAAGAAGCCCCGGCUAACUUCGUG
rnacentral:rRNA from 1 species